UACGUAGGGACCAAGCGUUGUUCGGAUUUACUGGGCGUAAAGGGCGCGUAGGCGGCGUGACAAGUCACUUGUGAAAUCUCUGGGCUUAACCCAGAACGGCCAAGUGAAACUGUUGUGCUAGAGUGCAGAAGGGGCAAUCGGAAUUCUCGGUGUAGCGGUGAAAUGCGUAGAUAUCGGGAGGAACACCAAUGGCGAAGGCAGCUCGCUGGGACGGUACUGACGCUGAGACGCGAAAGCGUGGGGAGCAAACAGG
rnacentral:rRNA from 1 species